rnacentral:misc_RNA from 1 species
AUGUUUGUAUCAAUUUUCUUACUUUAAGUGUAACAAUUGGCAACAUGUUAGUAAAAACAGCAGCUAUUUUAUUAUUUCUUUUACACUUAUCGGCUGCACUUGAUUUCUCGUGCUUAAUCCCAAUCCUUCCCUGUCCAAGCAACAACACAGGACCUAGUUUUACGAAUUUUAUUCCCGGUUUUAAUUUUUUGAAAACUUUUCACAAUAACAUUUUUGAUAGAAAUAACUAACUUAAAUUGAAAAUUAAAAAAAAAAAUUAUAAACCUUGUUUAUUUUACAUACAUUACAAUAUUUUAAUUUUUUCUAUAUGUGUUGCCAAGAAAUUAUAAUAAAAUAAAAA